GAUGAACGCUGGCGGCGUGCCUAAUACAUGCAAGUCGAGCGAACGGACGAGAAGCUUGCUUCUCUGAUGUUAGCGGCGGACGGGUGAGUAACACGUGGAUAACCCACCUAUAAGACUGGGAUAACUUCGGGAAACCGGAGCUAAUACCGGAUAAUAUUUUGAACCGCAUGGUUCAACAGUGAAAGACGGUCUUGCUGUCACUUAUAGAUGGAUCCGGGCUGCAUUAGCUAGUUGGUAAGGUAACGGCUUACCAAGGCAACGAUGCAUAGCCGACCUGAGAGGGUGAUCAGCCACACUGGAACUGAGACACGGUCCAGACUCCUACGGGAGGCAGCAGUAGGGAAUCUUCCGCAAUGGGCGAAAGCCUGACGGAGCAACGCCGCGUGAGCGAUGAAGGUCUUCGGAUCGUAAAACUCUGUUAUUAGGGAAGAACAUAUGUGUAAGUAACUGUGCACAUCUUGACGGUACCUAAUCAGAAAGCCACGGCUAACUACGUG
rnacentral:rRNA from 1 species